UACGGAGGGUGCAAGCGUUAAUCGGAAUUACUGGGCGUAAAGCGUGCGCAGGCGGUUUGUUAAGUCUGUUGUGAAAUCCCCGAGCUCAACUUGGGAAUUGCAAUGGAUACUGGCAAGCUGGAGUAUGGUAGAGGAAGGUGGAAUUCCCGGUGUAGCAGUGAAAUGCGUAGAGAUCGGAAGGAACACCGGUGGCGAAGGCGGCUGCCUGGACAGAGACUGACGCUGAGGCGCGAGAGCGUGGGGAGCAAACAGG
rnacentral:rRNA from 1 species